rnacentral:rRNA from 1 species
GUGCUGAAACGCAUGUCUGAAGGAGGAUUUAGCAGUAAACAGGAAAUAGAGCGUCCCGCUGAAACUGGCCCUGAAGCGCGCACACACCGCCCGUCACUCUCCCCAAAACCCCCCCAAAACAAUUAACUAAAACCUAAUGACCUAUAAAGGGGAGGCAAGUCGUAACAUGGUAAGUGUACCGGAAGGUGCACUUGGAAAAUC